rnacentral:rRNA from 1 species
UACGUAGGGGGCAAGCGUUGUCCGGAAUCAUUGGGCGUAAAGAGCGUGUAGGCGGCUUGGUAAGUCCGCUGUGAAAGUCCAGGGCUCAACCCUGGAAUGCCGGUGGAAACUGUCAAGCUUGAGUCCGGAAGAGGCGAGUGGAAUUCCUGGUGUAGCGGUGAAAUGCGCAGAUAUCAGGAGGAACACCAAAGGCGAAGGCAGUGUCCUGGGGAGUACCUGACGCUCAGGUGCGAAAGCCAGGGGAGCGAACGGG